GACUUGGUAGCUCAGCCGGUAGAGCACAACACUUUUAAUGUUGGGGUCCUGGGUUCGAACCCCAGCCAAGUCA
rnacentral:tRNA from 2 species